UACGAAGGGGGCUAGCGUUGCUCGGAAUUACUGGGCGUAAAGCGUGCGCAGGCGGCUUUGCAAGACAGAUGUGAAAUCCCCGGGCUUAACCUGGGAACUGCAUUUGUGACUGCAUGGCUGGAGUGCGGCAGAGGGGGAUGGAAUUCCGCGUGUAGCAGUGAAAUGCGUAGAUAUGCGGAGGAACACCGAUGGCGAAGGCAAUCCCCUGGGCCUGCACUGACGCUCAUGCACGAAAGCGUGGGGAGCAAACAGG
rnacentral:rRNA from 1 species